rnacentral:ncRNA from 2 species
GCGGAGGAAAAGAAACCAACAGGGAUUGCCCUAGUAACGGCGAGUGAAGCGGCAACAGCUCAAAUUUGAAAUCUGGCGUCUUCGGCGUCCGAGUUGUAAUUUGCAGAGGGCGCUUUGGCAUUGGCAGCGGUCCAAGUUCCUUGGAACAGGACGUCACAGAGGGUGAGAAUCCCGUACGUGGUCGCUAGCCUUUACCGUGUAAAGCCCCUUCGACGAGUCGAGUUGUUUGGGAAUGCAGCUCUAAAUGGGAGGUAAAUUUCUUCUAAAGCUAAAUACUGGCCAGAGACCGAUAGCGCACAAGUAGAGUGAUCGAAAGAUGAAAAGCACUUUGGAAAGAGAGUUAAAAAGCACGUGAAAUUGUUGAAAGGGAAGCGCUUGCAGCCAGACUUGCCUGUAGUUGCUCAUCCGGGUUUCUACCCGGUGCACUCUUCUACGGGCAGGCCAGCAUCAGUUUGGGCGGUUGGAUAAAGGUCUCUGUCAUGUACCUCCUUUCGGGGAGAACUUAUAGGGGAGACGACAUGCAACCAGCCCGGACUGAGGUCCGCGCAUCUGCUAGGAUGCUGGCGUAAUGGCUGUAAGCGGCCCGUCUUGAAACACGGACCAAGGAGUCUAACAUCUAUGCGAGUGUUUGGGUGUCAAGCCCGAACGCGUAAUGAAAGUGAACGGAGGUGGGAACCUUUCGGGGUGCACCAUCGACCGAUCCUGAUGUCUUCGGAUGGAUUUGAGUAAGAGCAUAGCUGUUGGGACCCGAAAGAUGGUGAACUAUGCUUGAAUAGGGUGAAGCCAGAGGAAACUCUGGUGGAGGCUCGCAGCGGUUCUGACGUGCAAAUCGAUCGUCAAA